rnacentral:rRNA from 1 species
CAUACAAGGCAUACGGCUCAGUAACGCGUAGUCAACCUAACCUAUGGACGGGAAUAACCUCGGGAAACUGAGAAUAAUGCCCGAUAGAACAUUAUGCCUGGAAUGGUUUAUGUUCCAAAUGAUUUAUCGCCGUAGGAUGGGACUGCGGCCUAUCAGUUUGUUGGUGAGGUAAUGGCCCACCAAGACUAUUACAGGUACGGGCUCUGAGAGGAGUAGCCCGGAGAUGGGUACUGAGACACGGACCCAGGCCCUAUGGGGCGCAGCAGGCGAGAAAACUUUGCAAUGUGCGAAAGCACGACAAGGUUAAUCCGAGUGGUUUCUGCUAAAGAAACCUUUUGUCAGUCCUAGAAACACUGAUGAAUAAGGGGUGGGCAAGUUCUGGUGUCAGCCGCCGCGGUAAAACCAGCACCUCAAGUGGUCAGGAUGAUUAUUGGGCCUAAAGCAUCCGUAGCCGGCUCUGUAAGUUUUCGGUUAAAUCUGUACGCUCAACGUACAGGCUGCCGGGAAUACUGCAGAGCUAGGGAGUGGGAGAGGUAGACGGUACUCGGUAGGAAGGGGUAAAAUCCUUUGAUCUAUUGAUGACCACCUGUGGCGAAGGCGGUCUACCAGAACACGUCCGACGGUGAGGGAUGAAAGCUGGGGGAGCAAACCGGAUUAGAUACCCGGGUAGUCCCAGCUGUAAACUAUGCAAACUCAGUGAUGCAUUGGCUUGUGGCCAAUGCAGUGCUGCAGGGAAGCCGUUAAGUUUGCCGCCUGGGAAGUACGUACGCAAGUAUGAAACUUAAAGGAAUUGGCGGGGGAGCACCACAAGGGGUGAAGCCUGCGGUUCAAUUGGAUUCAACGCCGGG